rnacentral:snoRNA from 1 species
AUGUAGACAUUGGUAUAGGCUCCCUGGUCCUCGUAGGGGCCCCAUCAGAGCAGACUAGCCCCGGGCUAUUGCCUGGCCUCUAUCCAUGGGCUGCUUCCAUGGAAGUGGGUUGCAUGGUG